GGUUUAUAGUUGCUUGUUGAUUUAAUUGGAAUGAUACAGAGAAGAUUAUCAUGGCCCCUGCGCAAGGAUGACACGCAAAUUCAUGAGGCCUCCUUUCCUUUU